GGUGGUUUAGUUGUAGUGUCAAAAUGUUUACUUUGAAUAGGGUUAAAUUUGCUGAAGAGUGAUGGCCUGCCCUUGUCCAUAUACCUAGUUCAGGAAAAAGGACUUGGCUAACAUUUAUCUAGCCCAGGAAUUUAGUAUAUAAUGUUACUUAGCCUGUAGGAAUCAGGAUAAAAAGUUAAAGAUGGUUGGGUGGAACUGUCAGCAACUUCCUUUUUAGGGUUAUCCACUAUAGUUCUAAACAGGCUUAGUCUCCCCUACCAUCAGGAACCUUGAAUGUGGUGUGGAAAUGGCCUCCAGGGGAGGAACUAUG
rnacentral:lncRNA from 1 species